AAAAGUCACAGGCAUAACUAAAUAAUUGCAGCUUUUACAUAAAUUAUAUUCUACUCCAGCUAUGCUGUGUACAAGUGUUGUUGUUGGUUGGCAGCCAUCGAUUAUUUAAAUCACAUUAAUAGAAAAAACAGGUGGACAAGAAAGGGAAGCCAAGAAACAAAGCAGGUUCAAAGGUUCAGUUUGAAGCCGGCCACCCUAAACAUAUCUCUAGGACUAUAGCUGCCGAGUCACCUCCUCCAACACCAGAGCUGGAGAUCAAGGAAAUCUCAAGAAUCAAGCGAAAAGACUGUCUCAAAGAAUGAAAUAUCUGACAAGUUUCAUACAAGUAAUCCUGGGUCAGAAGAUUUUUAUACAACCACAGAAACCUCAUGAGUAGCAGCUUUUUACCUGUACUGCCAACAGUCAGUCGCAGUUGACUAUGAUUUAACUCACAGACCUACAGCUCUGGUGCACUCAGGUACUGGAUUGACUCAACUCAACAGUAUAUUGGGAUGUUUAAAUAUUUCAACUGUUACUGUACACAUACACUUACAGGUCACAGUUUCAGUCGUUACAUAUAUGUGCAGAUUGAGAGAGCCUGGAAAGGCCAUUGAGGAAGUUGCGUUGGAGUCACUGCAGGAAGCUUUAAAAGAAGAGAAAGAUAGUGAUGGGGCAUUGCAAAAUGAUAGGAUGCAAAACUGGAAAGGUUGUUGGCUAUGCUGUACGUUCAAAAGGCUGCAGAAUUUGUGAAGCCAGUGAAGUCAAAGGACAGUGUCCAGGUUAAUCGCAAACUAGGAGUUUCACCUGGAGGACACACAUUAAAACUUGUAACCUACAGGGACAUGAUCGCACAUGCAAGGAAAGCUAUUCCUAUUAUACAUCAAGCAAAACGACGAAGACUCCUACUCAAACAAAAAGGGCCAUGAAGAGAGUGACACAUGAAGUAAGAGAAGGACCAAGUUAUGACACAGACAUUGAACUGAAAGGUUGGUUAAAUUAUUUCCAGUUAAAUUAGUGCCAGUGCUCACCAUCUCUCUCUCUCUCUCUCCUAAUAUAUAUAAAGUUUGAUACAUUGAAAUGCAGUACACCACUAUGCCAUAUCAUAGAAAAGCCUGAUUAACAUUCCAAAAGCAACAAGUUUUGCCAGACCUUCAUGAAAUUUUAAAAUGUUUUUUUUUCUUUGUAAUGAAAUCUUGAUCAUGUUCAAGACGGGGUCACUAUGUCAAAUAAACCUUGCUAGUUAACAAUCUAGAUGCCAAUAUUUCUAUUCAUUAUCUAUAAAAUUUUGUCAGAGUGGCUGUCUUUUUGAAAGCUUGGUUAUGAAGUUAGUCAGUUGAGAAAUAUAGGGUCUUAAUGGUAUUUUUGUUACUAUACUUUUGUCAUAACGCUAUGACUAUAAUUUUGGAAUUUCAACUGCCAGAGCUUUCAAUGCUUUGUGUAUUUUCUUGAAGUUACACUUUGAAAUAAUAUUUCAGAGGCAUAAUUUUAUGAAAUUAAAGUUAAGUGAAUGGAUGUCAAUAUAAUUAUGUCUCCCCCAGGAGACAUAUUGUUUUUGCCCUGUCCGUCCGUCCGUCCGUCCGUCCGUACGUCACAUUUCAUUUCCGAGCAAUAACUGGAGAACCAUUUGACCUAGAACCUUCAAACUUCAUAGGAUUGUAGGGCUGCUGGAGUAGACGACCCCUAUUGUUUUUGGGGUCACUCCGUGAAAG